ensembl:rRNA 5S_rRNA 5S ribosomal RNA
GUCUAUAGCCGUACCACCCUGAAUGUUCCUGAUCUUGUCUAAUCCCAGAAGAUAAGCAGGGUCAGGCUUCACUGGUACUUGGAUGGGAGACCUCCUGCGAAUACUGUGUGCUGGAGGAA